UGUGCAAUGACUAGGCAGUAUUUGACCAAGAACAAGCUAUGCAGAGCAUUUUAACCACAUUCUGUAGAUAAAAAACAGAGACAGAUGGCACCAGAGUCUGUGUUGGGACAGCUUUCUUCUCACGCUUCACUCAGUGAGGCUCUGAGAGCAGGCUGCUGGAUACAUAGGUCAUUGGCAAUGAGGUGGUGGAGUUGGAUGGACCGGAGGGCCAUGUGUGCUCCAAACAGGAGUCGCUCUGUUCAUGGCUUCAGAAGGUCACGUAUCAAGAAUCAGGCUUUAAACAACAAAAAUGUUUCCCUGUGUUUCUUGAAGUGGGCAGUAAAUCUGGGUUUUGAAGACCAGCUGUUUCAUUAAGCUGUAGCCCUUAGCCAGCAAGAACACCGUCAGCUUCUCCAAAGGAUUGUCUUCAGUUUCCGUCCGGCGGUGUGACAGCCAGGUCAGUCCUGAACUCAGCUUUCAGGAUGUUACUGAGUCCUCCCAGAAGUUAACGUGCCCUGGAUCUUCAUCUGAUGAUGUGAAAUUACAGUAUGUCCUUAAAGAUGAACACUGGGUUAAGUUUAGACUCCUUGGAAACUUUCCUUCGUCCAUUGCCGCCAACAGCCAGAGUGGUUCCAGCUGCUCUCCUCAUGAUGACAAGAAAUGACCAGAGGAACACCAACUGCUGAAUUCAUUCUCAUAAUUUUGUGCCGAUUGUGAUAUAUUCCAACUGCUUCCUUUCCUGUAUGUUUGGACAACUGUGUUGCUGUGUAUGGAGUGAUGCAGAUUAACAAAACCAAUCGGUCCAGAAGAAUUUCAUGUAGACAUACUCUGCAAAAUGAAUGUAAUAUAAUUAAAUAGCAGCCCCAGCAAUAGUAGGAUUGCUGCCCCUAGUUGGGCCAUUUUUGUUCCUAGGAUGAUGCAGCCCUCUUGGCAAAUACCAGAAAUCCCACAAAAUCGUUUUAAUAUGUAACCACAAACACAUCUGUGUUUUAACUUUUCAGGAAUAACUCUAACAUGAAGCUUGGGGUAAUUGGAUGUAAGUGUCUAGUAUGUUUAUCUGGAGCUUCCGAUAAUUGUCACUAAGGAGUUAGGGUUGUCUGGUGUCCAGUUGGUGCCGUCGCCCGGAUGUAAAAUGUCACGUCAUAUCUUACUCUGAACGCUUUCCAUCUGUUGAAGAGCAGAAAAUGAUGUUCCAGCCCUAACAUUGUGUCACAUGCCCAGGGGUCUCAAUUGCGGGGUGGAUGCAUUCUGCUGCUGCGUCUCAAAUCACAUAAAUAGCAUGCCACUAAUGGUGCUGUUUCUAUUUUGAAUGAUGCUGUAUUACCAUUUAGUACGGUAGUAUGUGGGUUGAGACACAGCUAAAGUUAGGCAAAGUUAGGCUGCAUUAUGACGGAUUUAGGAUAAUUACUCAAAUUUAGCCUACAGAAGACUCACUAGGCUGCCAGCGUUUUAUUUGUGUAUCACAAUGCCAGAACAAAAUUAUUUUACCCUAUAAUUUACCUUAUAGAAAAUGUAUAUUUUUACCUAUAAUUUUCAUUAUAGAAAAUACAAAGAACAAUGUAAAAACAAACAAACAAGAAAUGGCAGAAAAGACAAAAUGGAGAACAUGAUAAAAGACAUAUUGGAUGCUUGCUGAACCCACCCCAGGGCCUGGACUAUCCAGCUUUACCACAGCUGAAAUCUUGCAACCCUUGAGCAGGAUGUUUGUCAACAGGCAGUCAGUAUAAACAUGAUAAUCUUAGUACAUCAGUUGAAUUCUGUAUUAAUACAGAACGUUGUUGCCUGCUGUUCAUGGAAUAAGCUUGCUUGGCACCCAUAGCCUUAGGCAAUGUUUGACUAAAGAAUGCUUUAAUAUGAUUAUUUAUUUAAUUUCCAGGCAAAACAAUUUAUUUUAUAUACACACAUGUGACAGAAAAUUAUACAGAUGUCUCAAAAACUGAAUAAAUUAUCAACAUUCAAUGAAGUUGGCUGCAUUUAAUUAUGUUGAGGUCUGGGCUCUGAGGCGGCCAGUCCAGUUGAUUUGCAAAUUGGAAGGAUGGACAGAAACACCUGUUGAUUUUUCAGAUCCGAAGCAAAAGUGGAGCUUGAAUUCUCUCAAAUUUAUCCCUCAAAGAUGAAAGCCUUAAGUAUCUGAUGGUGACAGUGUUGGUGGUCUACCAGGUCUUGCACAAUUGUUAAGUCCCAUUUUCUCUAUAACAUUUUAUUUUUUAACUUCAGUUUGGGUGUCUGUUGGAUGUCUGUUUUUUCACUUAUUUUUCUUUGAUUUCCCCUUCCUAAUGCCAGUGGAUUAUUGUAUAUCUAAACUCCACAGAAAUGCAAAAUAAAUGACUUACACUUAA